rnacentral:rRNA from 1 species
AACGAACGCUGGCGGCAUGCCUAACACAUGCAAGUCGAACGAGACCUUCGGGUCUAGUGGCGCACGGGUGCGUAACGCGUGGGAAUCUGCCCUUGGGUUCGGGAUAACAGUUGGAAACGACUGCUAAUACCGGAUGAUGUCUUCGGACCAAAGAUUUAUCGCCCAGGGAUGAGCCCGCGUCGGAUUAGCUAGUUGGUGAGGUAAAGGCUCACCAAGGCGACGAUCCGUAGCUGGUCUGAGAGGAUGAUCAGCCACACUGGGACUGAGACACGGCCCAGACUCCUACGGGAGGCAGCAGUGGGGAAUAUUGGACAAUGGGCGAAAGCCUGAUCCAGCAAUGCCGCGUGAGUGAUGAAGGCCUUAGGGUUGUAAAGCUCUUUUACCCGGGAUGAUAAUGACAGUACCGGGAGAAUAAGCACCGGCUAACUACGUGCCAGCCGCCGCCGUAAUAC